rnacentral:misc_RNA from 1 species
AACGCAUAUUGCGCCCUCUGGUAUUCCGGGGGGCAUGCCUGUUCGAGCGUCAUUUUUCACCACUCAAGCAAAGUUUGCUUGGUCAUGGGUCUCGUCUCCUUCCCCCCUGAGGGAGAGGCGUACCUGAAAGUUAGCGGCGGUGCAGCUGGUCCUCGAGCGCAUUAACAUACAUCGCUACGGGGGGGCUUCCAGGCCUGCUCCAGCCGGAUUGAUUUCAAAAUUUUUCCAAUGAUUGACCUCGGAUCAGGUAGGGAUACCCGCUGAACUUAA